ensembl:lncRNA
CACUGGGGAAGGAUCUUUUCCUGGAGAUUGCUCCUUUUGGAGUUUUUUCUGCAAGCCUAUAACACAGGUGGUGUAAGGCUUAUAUAGCUUAUAUAGCAAUUUGAGAAAAAAGAUGAAGCAAGGGUAUAUCUGGUGUUUGUAGAACCACAUUUGGAAAAAACAAAAAACAAACAAAAAUAACAACAACAAAACCCACCAAAACAAAACAACAACCAAAAACAACAACACAAAACCAAACCCUUUUUAAAGUAAAAAAGGACUGCUGAUCCACUUAGUAGCGUGCUGUUUAAUGACUCUAAGUGAUAAUGCACUUAAACUGUUAAUUCAAGGGUUAAUCCUCCUCGAACACUGAGCUUGGAAAAAAAAC